rnacentral:tRNA from 1 species
GCGAAAGUAACUCAAUGGUGAGAGUGUAAGCUUGCCAUGCUUGAAGUUGAGGGUUCGAGUCCCUUUUUUCGC